GCGAAAGCGAGUCUGAAUAGGGCGCAUAAGUAACAGGUCGUAGACCCGAAACCAGGUGAUCUACCCAUGUCCAGGAUGAAGGUAAGGUAAUACUUACUGGAGGUCCGAACCCACGCACGUUGAAAAGUGCGGGGAUGAGGUGUGGGUAGCGGAGAAAUUCCAAUCGAACUUGGAGAUAGCUGGUUCUCUCCGAAAUAGCUUUAGGGCUAGCCUCGAGGUAAAGAGUCAUGGAGGUAGAGCACUGUUUGGACUAGGGGCCCUUCUCGGGUUACCGAAUUCAGAUAAACUCCGAAUGCCAUGUACUUAUACUCGGGAGUCAGACUGCGAGUGAUAAGAUCCGUAGUCGAAAGGGAAACAGCCCAGACCACCAGUUAAGGUCCCCAAAUAUAUGUUAAGUGGAAAAGGAUGUGGGGUUGCUUAGACAACCAGGAUGUUGGCUUAGAAGCAGCCACCAUUGAAAGAGUGCGUAAUAGCUCACUGGUCGAGUGACCCCGCGCCGAAAAUGUACCGGGGCUAAACAUAUUACCGAAACUGUGGAGUACACCAUGAGGUGUAUUGGUAGGAGAGCGUUCUAAGGGCGUUGAAGGCAGAUCGUGAGGACUG
rnacentral:rRNA from 1 species